rnacentral:rRNA from 1 species
CCUACGGGAGGCAGCAGUGGGGAAUAUUGCGCAAUGGGCGAAAGCCUGACGCAGCGACGCCGCGUGGGUGAUGAAGGCCUUCGGGUCGUAAAGCCCUGUCGGGAGGGAAGAAACAGUCCGGACCUAAUACGUCCGGAAAUUGACGGUACCUCCUAAGGAAGCACCGGCUAACUCCGUGCCAGCAGCCGCGGUAAUACGAAGGUGGCAAGCGUUGUUCGGAUUCACUGGGCGUACAGGGAGCGUAGGCGGUUGGGUAAGCCCUUCGUGAAAUCUCCGGGCCUAACCCGGAAAGUGCGGAGGGGACUGCUCAGCUAGAGGAUGGGAGAGGAGCGCGGAAUUCCCGGUGUAGCGGUGAGAUGCGUAGAGAUCGGGAGGAAGGCCGGUGGCGAAGGCGGCGCUCUGGAACAUUUCUGACGCUGAGGCUCGAAAGCGUGGGGAGCAAACAGGAUUAGAUACCCUGGUAGUCCACGCCUUAAACGAUGGAUACUAAGUGUCGGCGGGUUACCGCCGGUGCCGCAGCUAACGCAGUAAGUAUCCCGCCUGGGAAGUACGGCCGCAAGGUUAAAACUCAAAGGAAUUGACGG